rnacentral:rRNA from 1 species
GAUGAACGCUGGCGGCGUGCCUAAUACAUGCAAGUCGAGCGAACAGACGAGGAGCUUGCUCCUUUGACGUUAGCGGCGGACGGGUGAGUAACACGUGGGUAACCUACCUAUAAGACUGGGAUAACUUCGGGAAACCGGAGCUAAUACCGGAUAAUAUUUCGAACCGCAUGGUUCGAUAGUGAAAGAUGGCUUUGCUAUCACUUAUAGAUGGACCUGCGCCGUAUUAGCUAGUUGGUAAGGUAACGGCUUACCAAGGCAACGAUACGUAGCCGACCUGAGAGGGUGAUCGGCCACACUGGAACUGAGACACGGUCCAGACUCCUACGGGAGGCAGCAGUAGGGAAUCUUCCGCAAUGGGCGAAAGCCUUACGGAGCAACGCCGCGUGAGUGAUGAAGGUCUUCGGAUCGUAAAACUCUGUUAUUAGGGAAGAACAAACGUGUAAGUAACUGUGCACGUCUUGACGGUACCUAAUCAGAAAGCCACGGCUAACUACGUG